rnacentral:rRNA from 1 species
AACGAACGCUGGCGGCAUGCCUAACACAUGCAAGUCGAACGAGCCCUUCGGGUCUAUUGGCGCACGGGUUCGUAACGCGUCGGAACCUGCCCUUAGGUUCGGAAUAACUCCCCGAAAGGGGUGCUAUUACCGGACAAUGUCUUCGGAUCAAAGAUUUCUUGCCUUUGGAUGUGCCCGAGUUGGAUUAGCUAGUUGGUAGGGUAAUAGCCUACCAAGGGGACGAUCCAUAGCUGGUCUGAGAGGAUGAUCAGCCACACUUGGACUGAGACACGGCCCAGAAUCCUACGGGAGGCAGCAGUGGGUAAUAUUGCAAAACGGGCGAAGGCAUGAUGGAGCAAUGCCGCGUGAGUGAUGAAGGCAGUAGGGUUGUAAAGCUCAUUUACCCGGGAUGAUAAUGACAGUACCGAGAGAGUAAGCCCCGGCUAACUCCGUG